CCUACGGGUGGCAGCAGUGGGGAAUAUUGCACAAUGGGGGAAACCCUGAUGCAGCGACGCCGCGUGAGUGAAGAAGUAAUUCGGUACGUAAAGCUCUAUCAGCAGGGAAGAAAAUGACGGUACCUGAUUAAGAAGCCCCGGCUAACUACGUUCCAGCAGCCGCGGUAAUACGUAGGGGGCAAGCGUUAUCCGGAUUUACUGGGUGUAAAGGGAGCGUAGACGGCAGGGCAAGUCUGGAGUGAAGUCCGGUGGCUCAACCAUGGGACUGCUUUGGAAACUGUACGGCUGGAGUGCAGGAGAGGUAAGUGGAAUUCCUAGUGUAGCGGUGAAAUGCGUAGAUAUUAGGAGGAACACCAGUGGCGAAGGCGGCUUACUGGACUGUAACUGACGUUGAGGCGCGAAAGCGUGGGGAGCAAACAGGAUUAGAUACCCUUGUAGUC
rnacentral:rRNA from 1 species